rnacentral:rRNA from 1 species
AGAUUGAACGCUGGCGGCAGGCCUAACACAUGCAAGCCGAGCGGUAGAGAGGUGCUUGCACCUCUUGAGGGCGGCGGACGGGUGAGUAAUGCCUAGGAAUCUGCCUAGUGGUGGGGGAUAACGUUCGGAAACGGACGCUAAUACCGCAUACGUCCUACGGGAGAAAGCGGGGGACCUUCGGGCCUCGCGCCAUUAGAUGAGCCUAGGUCGGAUUAGCUAGUUGGUGAGGUAAUGGCUCACCAAGGCGACGAUCCGUAACUGGUCUGAGAGGAUGAUCAGUCACACUGGAACUGAGACACGGUCCAGACUCCUACGGGAGGCAGCAGUGGGGAAUAUUGGACAAUGGGCGAAAGCCUGAUCCAGCCAUGCCGCGUGUGUGAAGAAGGUCUUCGGAUUGUAAAGCACUUUAAGUUGGAGGAAGGUUGUAAACUUAAUACGUUUGCAACUUUGACGUUACCGACAGAAAUAAGCACCGGCUAACUUCGUGCCAGCAAGUCG